rnacentral:rRNA from 1 species
UACGAAGGGGGCUAGCGUUGCUCGGAAUUACUGGGCGUAAAGCGCACGUAGGCGGAUCUUUAAGUCAGGGGUGAAAUCCUGGAGCUCAACUCCAGAACUGCCUUUGAUACUGAGGACCUUGAGUUCGGGAGAGGUGAGUGGAACUGCGAGUGUAGAGGUGAAAUUCGUAGAUAUUCGCAAGAACACCAGUGGCGAAGGCGGCUCACUGGCCCGAUACUGACGCUGAGGCGCGAAGGCUAGGGGAGC